rnacentral:lncRNA from 1 species
AGUGUUUGAGCCUAUGGAGUCAUGCACACAAGUCAGACAAAGUAAGAAGGAAUUAAUCUAUGUUUACAUAUCUAAUUUGAAAGUAUUUACUUGAUUGAACAUAUAAGCUAACUUGAUUGAGAAUUAAAUUAUGGGUCAAACGGGAUUGAAGAGUUGACUAUAUCUAGUUAGCACUACAUAUGAGGUUCAGAUUCGAUCCCAUGGAUGAACAGUUUCAUGGAGCAUAUGGAAGAUUGGAUUUAAGUAC